AGCAGCCGCGGUAAUUCCAGCUCCAAUAGCGUAUAUUAAAGUUGUUGCAGUUAAAAAGCUCGUAGUUGAAUUUCGGGGUCAGUAGGUCGGUCGUGCCACAGGUAUGCACUGGUCUCACUGAUUCCUCCUUCCUGAUGAACCGGAAUGCCAUUAAUUUGGUGUUGCGGGGAGACUGGACUGUUACUUUGAAAAAAUUGAGUGUUUAAAGCAGGCUAACGCUUGAAUACAUUAGCAUGGAAUAACGGAAUAGGACGUUCGAUCUUAUUUUGUUGGUUUCUAAGAUUGACGUAAUGAUUAAUAGGGAUAGUUGGGGGCAUUAGUAUUCAAUUGUCAGAGGUGAAAUUCUUGGAUUUAUUGAAGACUAACUACUGCGAAAGCAUUUGCCAAGGAUGUUUCAUUAAUCAAGAACGAAAGUUGGGGGCUCGAAGACGAUCAGAUACCGUCCUAGUCUCAACCAUAAACGAUGCCGACCAGGGAUCGGCGGAUAUUGCUUUUAGGACUCCGCCGGCACCUUAUGGGA
rnacentral:sRNA from 1 species